AAUUGAUAGAGCCGGGCUCGGCCUGGUAUUCUAACCCUUUGUUGUCCGACUCUGUUGCCUCCGGGGCGACCCUGCCUUCGGGCGGGGGCUCCGGGUGGACACUUCAAACUCUUGCGUAACUUUGCAGUCUGAGUAAACUUAAUUAAUAAAUUAAAACUUUUAACAACGGAUCUCUUGGUUCUGGCAUCGAUGAAGAACGCAGCGAAAUGCGAUAAGUAAUGUGAAUUGCAGAAUUCAGUGAAUCAUCGAAUCUUUGAACGCACAUUGCGCCCCCUGGUAUUCCGGGGGGCAUGCCUGUUCGAGCGUCAUUUCACCACUCAAGCCUCGCUUGGUAUUGGGCAACGCGGUCCGCCGCGUGCCUCAAAUCGUCCGGCUGGGUCUUCUGUCCCCUAAGCGUUGUGGAAACUAUUCGCUAAAGGGUGUUCGGGAGGCUACGCCGUAAAACAACCCCAUUUCUAAGGUUGACCUCGGAUCAGGUAGGGAUACCCGCUGAACUUAAGCAUAUCAUAGGCGCGAAGAAA
rnacentral:rRNA from 1 species